AGAGUUUGAUUAUGGCUCAGAUUGAACGCUGGCGGCAUGCCUUACACAUGCAAGUCGAACGGUAACAGCACUUCGGUGGCUGACGAGUGGCGAACGGGUGAGUAAUACAUCGGAACGUGCCCGAUCGUGGGGGAUAACUACUCGAAAGAGUGGCUAAUACCGCAUACGAUCUACGGAUGAAAGCGGGGGAUCGCAAGACCUCGCGCGGACGGAGCGGCCGAUGGCAGAUUAGGUAGUUGGUGGGAUAAAAGCUUACCAAGCCGACGAUCUGUAGCUGGUCUGAGAGGACGACCAGCCACACUGGGACUGAGACACGGCCCAGACUCCUACGGGAGGCAGCAGUGGGGAAUUUUGGACAAUGGGGGAAACCCUGAUCCAGCCAUGCCGCGUGCAGGAUGAAGGCCUUCGGGUUGUAAACUGCUUUUGUACGGAACGAAAAGACUCUUUCUAAUACAGAGGGUCCAUGACGGUACCGUAAGAAUAAGCACCGGCUAACUACGUGCCAGCAGCCGCGGUAAUACGUAGGGUGCAAGCGUUAAUCGGAAUUACUGGGCGUAAAGCGUGCGCAGGCGGUUAUAUAAGACAGAUGUGAAAUCCCCGGGCUCAACCUGGGAACUGCAUUAGUGACUGUAUAGCUGGAGUGCGGCAGAGGGGGGAUGGAAUUCCGCGUGUAGCAGUGAAAUGCGUAGAUAUGCGGAGGAACACCGAUGGCGAAGGCAAUCCCCUGGGGCCUGCACUGACGCUCAUGCACGAAAGCGUGGGGGAGCAAACAGGGAUUAGAUACCCUGGGUAGUCCACGCCCCUAAACGAUGUCAACUGGGUUGUUGGGGAAUUUACUUUUCUCAGUAACGAAGCCUAACGCGUGAAAGUUGACCGCCUGGGGGAGUACGGCCGCAAGGUUAAAACUC
rnacentral:rRNA from 1 species